rnacentral:rRNA from 1 species
AUUGAACGCUGGCGGCAUGCCUUACACAUGCAAGUCGAACGGCAGCGCGGGGUAACCUGGUGGCGAGUGGCGAACGGCUGAGUAAUAUAUCGGAACGUACCCUGGAGUGGGGGAUAACGUAGCGAAAGUUACGCUAAUACCGCAUACGAUCUAAGGAUGAAAGUGGGGGAUACGCAAGAACCUCAUGCUCGUGGAGCGGCCGAUAUCUGAUUAGCUAGUUGGUAGGGUAAAAGCCUACCAAGGCAUCGAUCAGUAGCUGGUCUGAGAGGACGACCAGCCACACUGGAACUGAGACACGGUCCAGACU